rnacentral:rRNA from 1 species
AAUGAACGCUGGCGGCGCGCCUAAUACAUGCAAGUCGAGCGAGAAGACGUAGCAAUACGUUUGUAAAGCGGCGAACGGGUGAGGAAUACAUGGGUAACCUACCCUCGAGUGGGGAAUAACUAGCCGAAAGGUUAGCUAAUACCGCGUACGCUCCUUGGACUUCGGUUCAGGGAGGAAAGCGAUACCGUGGGUAUCGCGCUCUUGGCUGGGCUCAUGUCCUAUCAGCUUGUUGGUGAGGUAACGGCUCACCAAGGCUUCGACGGGUAGCUGGUCUGAGAGGACGAUCAGCCACACUGGCACUGCGACACGGGCCAGACUCCUACGGGAGGCAGCAGUAAGGAAUAUUGCGCAAUGGGCGAAAGCCUGACGCAGCGACGCCGCGUGGGGGAUGAAGGUCUUCGG